rnacentral:tRNA from 1 species
GUCGAUGUGGUGGAAUGGUAGACACGCAUGCUUGAGGUGCAUGUGGCGAGAGCUGUGGGGGUUCAAGUCCCCCCGUCGACACCA